rnacentral:rRNA from 1 species
AGGCUUGGUCCUGACUUUACUAUCAGCUUUAGCCCAACUUAUACAUGCAAGUAUCCGCAGCCCUGUGAGAAUGCCCUCAAUCCCCCGCCCGGGGACGAGGAGCAGGCAUCAGGCACCUACACAUUAGCCCAAGACGCCUUGCUACGCCACACCCCCAAGGGAACUCAGCAGUAAUAAACAUUAAGCUAUAAGUGAAAACUUGACUUAGUUAGCGCUAAGAGGGUCGGUAAAAUUCGUGCCAGCCACCGCGGUUAUACGAAAGACCCUAGUUGAUAGCCACGGCGUAAAGGGUGGUUAAGGUAAUUAAUAAAUAAAGCUAAAGAGCCUCUAAGCCGUCGCACGCAUUCCGAGAGCUCGAAGCCCAAACACGAAAGUAGCUUUAAAAUAAAAUACACCUGACCCCACGAAAGCUAAGAAACAAACUGGGAUUAGAUACCCCACUAUGCUUAGCCUUAAACCAAGAUGUACAUUUACAUACGCAUCCGCCCGGGUACUACGAGCAUAGCUUAAAACCC